rnacentral:lncRNA from 1 species
UUUUGUUAAGGUCUUUUCUUUGGUUUUUUGUGGUUUCAUUUAUGGUUGUAUUGAGCUCCAACAGUUGAUGGAGAAGGAAUGAUGGGAACCUGGUACAGACAGCCUCCGGAUUGUGGCCUCCCACGGGGCAUUUAACGUGGAUUUCCUGGCGUUGCACCUCUUUGCCCACUCCCAUCCCUCACUGGAUACAACUCUUGGUAAUUUACACAGACAUGUUUCUUUCGGAUGCAGAUUGGCUUAUCUCAGGCUAUCCUGAUAAAAAUUUGUUGUUUGUUUAAAGACACACAUUGUAUUUUAAAAGGCUGGGGAAAGGAAAAGGAAUAAGAAAUGACAUUGCUUAUGUGGAAUCUCAUUUUAUUGUAUGAUAAUGGCUGUGAGGAGAAGUUCAAACUUUAGAAAUCAAAGAGAUGGAAAAAAGAAAAGAACACCCAACCUGACAACUGGCUGAUCACUCAGCUUCCUUUCCUUUCCCUUUCCCCAGCCUUGAACUGUCUCCAGAGGGCUUUCGCCAGAGGCCUGUGUAGGAAAUGGAACCCCUUACAGAUACUCCGGCCUGCGUUGUGACCUACUCUCUUCAUCUCCAAAAAAUAAUCAUUGUGAACUAACACAUGAGCUCACGUUCAUCGAGCACUUGCUUUGUGCCAGCCACUGUCUUAAGCGCUCUGCUUGUACUUAGUCCGUAUGGUCAUGCUAUUAUCAUUUCCACUAAGCCAGUGAUCCGAGAGGUUGGGUAAAUUGUGUCAAGCCACAGAGCAAAUGCAUGAUAGGCAGAAAUGUAGACCCACAUGCCCUGACUUCGGAGGCCACUGCUGUAACAACUAUAAGACGUUGCCUCGCUCAUUUUUUAUGUGAACAGGGACCCUCAGCACUGUAUCGAGGGCUGCAAGGGGCUCGGCCUCAUCUAGCACUUGCACCUACUCUGUGGGCCAGAGCCAGGGUUUGUGGGCAGAAUCGCCAACACUGCUCUGGGGAUCCUGCCCAAGGCCACCGAGUGUGGAUGGGCCAGAGGACUCUGCAGACCGUCAGGGAGACCUGUGGACAGUCAAGAGGACAGAGGAGGACUCGACUCAGAACCAGGAAAGCCUGGCGGGAAACAGGAAAAGACUGGGAGCAAAUCAAGAAGGGUCCUGGGCACUGGCCGUGAGCAGAGGGAAGUAGCUCUGCUCACCACUUUGCUUACUUACGUGCACGGGGUCAGAGGGGACAGAUGUAAAUAUAAAAUUCUCUCCCUUCUUUUACCUUGUAGUUGGCAAGAACAUCUACAGAUAAUUAUUCAGUGACCUUCCUUCUCCCACACCUCGUAAAAUGAGUACAGUAAUACCUCCAUUUUGGGGCUGUUGAUUAAAUGAAAUAAUGUGGCUAUAUUGUAAUACCACCUGUUUUGACUGCCGGGCUCUCACCUGGGGCCCCAGUGCAUUGUUGCACCCCCUGAAAAAUCACAGAUCCAGUCUCUAAGUACUAAGUGAUGUAGAUCUUACUAAACAUUUUACGAAGAGCUAGCAGGGAUAAAUCACCAACAAUUUCCAAAAUGUUCAUACAACUUUAGGGAGAAGAAAUUUGGUUCUUCCCCUUAUGGCAGCAGGUUCAUAUCUCUUCUUCUAGCACCUGCUGCCCCCUCCCCAUGUCCUUCCCACAAAAUGUCCUGGUUCCCCUGCCCUCACUGUUUUAGGCUUCCUUGGCCCGGCUCCCUCUGCAUCCCCUCUGUCCUCUUUCCCACCUCUCUGAAUGCCUUGCUGGCCUAUACCACUUGGCAAGCAAUAGCCACCACCACUCAUCAGACCCCGCCCAGGCCUAGUUCUCCAGGUCUGUCCCAGCCAUGCAUAUAAAGUUUAUAGUCCAUCCUACAACAUACAGAGUUUUUAGUGAACUCUCUGGCCCAUAGCAAGUGAUGGAUAAAUUGGGGUAAUAUCGGUAGUUGUUUCCAGUGUCUGUCCUGUGAUGUCUUGCCUGGGCCAGCACACAGUCAUCCUAGAGACCUGGUCACCAGUAUGAGUGGAGGAUUUGGAAAUGGCUGAAAGCCAGAGGAGGGCGGGUGAUUGCCAUCCAGGGGCAUGGCAAAGGGGUGAGGAUCUCAGAGGCCCACAGAGGUGGUCAUUGCCAGUGACCAUCCAGAAGUCACCAGAGAGGUAGCCUCCUGUCCAGGACAACUGGGAAUUCUUUUUGUAAUCACUGGUGGCUUAACUGUUACAGAGAAUAGAGCGACAGGUGAAGGCAUCUCGCCCAUUCCUGCUGGGCAGAGCACCUCAUUUAAGUAGGAGUCCUUGCUAAGUCCUGCAAGGUAAAGCUGGAAUAGUCUGUGCCCCCAGGCUCCCUGCAGAAGAGUCAGCUUUGGCCACCUUUGGAAGGAUUCAGGGCCGAUAGUCAGGAGACUACUCGUCCUCUGGGAAGGCUGGCAAGAUACUCAUGAUUUGGAGCCAGGUUUUUCUGCCUGUCCUCACACCAUCACCCACUGGAACUAAUGGCAACUUUGGGUAGAGAAAGCCUCCACAGAAUGGGGAAUAAUCAGAUUUGCUGUUGGAAGAGGCUCCAGAGGUCAUUCAGUCAUUUAUUGAAUACUUUUCAUGACAAAGAGAUCAUUUCGAGGCUUUUUGAUUGCUGGGCAGCUUCAUUUGUUAGAAAGCUCUCCUAUCUUCAACAAAAUCCGUGUUCCUAUAACUUAGGGCUGUUUGUCCUGAUGCUGUCUUCUCAAACUGUCAACCAGGCCACUUAAUGUCACUUUACUGUCACCCACAUUCCCUAACAUCUAGCAAGAGAAUCUUGAACAUCUUUCUUAUUCAAAUCUAUGGUGAUGCAUUUUGUACUCUUUCCACCCAACAAAUUGAAGCACUGCCCACCCCACUGCCAGAGGAAGGAUUUGUGGGUAACAUGUUAAUAAGUUAUUAUUGGGUAUCUCUAAGUAGCUCAUUUCCUCCAUUCCCCAUCAAUCUCUGUUCCUUUCCCCAUCAUAGGACUGUCACCCCCUGACGUAUUUUAGGUGGUGUUUAUUUAUUAUUGGCAUCUCUCCUCUAAGAAUGUGCACUCCAUGACAGCAUAACCCUGUCCUGGUCUGUAUUAUCCUGUACUGUAUGCAGUGUUUAGAACAAUGCUGGAACAUAGAAAGUACUGAUUAAUAUUUGUUGAAUAAAUCAUGAGCCAAAUUAAAAUAGUGAGGACCCCAGAGCCUAUCAGGAUUCAUCUGAGUACUCCAGAGAAGGACAGGUUGUUUCUUUAAAAGCUGACUGGAUACCAACAGCAGUCCUAAUCCUGGAGUCAGGGGACCAGGAUUCAUCCCAGAUUCAUGCUCAUUGCCUGGAUGACUCUUCAGGGGCCCAUUUAACUGCUUUCUCAUUUGUAAAAUGGGGUUAACAUCCUCUGCCCUGUUCAAUUUCAGAGUUGUCCUGAGGAUAAAAUACUACUAUAUGGGAGAAAGAAUUCUGUGAACUGGAAAGCACAAUAUAAAUAUGAGUUAUUACUGUUAUUACUAUUGUGAUUGAUAGUGUAUGAUCUUGAUAUAGCAGAAGUAUAUUUAGCCUGAGAAUGAACUUAUCUUCUACUUGAGAUGAAGUCAUUUCUGGAGAAGCUAGAGAUUGUUUUCCAGAGAUGUUCUUUUGCUUACCAUCACCCACAGUACUUAUUCCAGUGCCUGUUGUGUAUAGGCACUAGUCCAGUUGCUGGAGUUACCUCAGAGAACAAAACAGACAAAAAUCCCUGCCUCCAUGGCAUUUACAGUCUAAAGGAGACAGGAAGACAAUAAAUAAAAUAAAUAAUUGUGUAGUGUAUUAGGGUUGUAAGUGCUAAGGAGUACAACAGAGAGCAGGUGGGAAGAAGCAAAAUAAAGGAACAGGGAGUACAGUUUUAAAGGAAGGAACAUCAAGUACAAAAACCAUAAGCUGAGCACUUCCCUCAAAUGCCCGAGAAAAAUGUAAGAAACCAGUGUGUCUGAAACAGAGGGAGAGGGGUAGAUGAGAUUAGAGAGAGAAUGGAUGGCCAGACUGUGUAGACCAUACAGGACAUUGUCCGGACUUUGGCUUUAACUCCAAGGGAGAAGGGCAGACAUUCGAAGGUCUUGAAGACAAGUGUUACAUGACCUGACAUCCAGGGACCUACUCUGACUGCAGUGAUGCGAAUAGAGCACUGGGACUGAGACUAGGAACAGGAAAACUAGAAGGUUGGCACAUGUAAUCUAAAGGAGAAAUGAUGAUAGUCUGGACCAGGGAAUUAGAGGUGGCAAGAAAUGACAAGAUUCUAGAUAUAUUUUGUAGGAAGCACCAACAGGAUUUGUUAAUGGAUCUGUUUUGGUGAGAAAGAAAAAGAGAUCAAAGAUGAGCCAAGGUUUUUGGCCUGAGCCAUUGGAAGAAUGGAAUUGCCAUUUGUUGAUGUGAGGUGACUGUGGGAUGAGCAGGAGCGGCGAUCAAGAGCUGAGUCUUGGGCACGUUACCUCAUGACAGACAUUCAAAUCAACAUGCUGAAUAAGCAUACACCAGCAUGAGCCAAAAAUAAAAAUUAAAAGAUUACUGACAAGUCAUCAGCAUAGAGUUGGUGUUUAAAGCCACAAGAUGUGCCGAGAAUUCCAAGGAAGUGAGUGUCCAUGGAACAGGGGCCAAGGACUGAGUCCUGGGCUCUGUCUACAGAGUUUAGGGACUGGUGACAUGGGGGAGAGGCAGCCAUCGACAGUGAAAGAUCAGCCGGCUGGGCAGAACAAAAUCAGGAGAGUGCGAUGUCCGGGGAGCUGUGUGGAGUUGGUGCUUAAAGGGGGCAAGAUCAACCAUGUCACACGUUGCCAAGAGGUCAACUAAGAUGAGCAUGACGACUGACUGUUGCUGUAUCGAAGCAAAGGUCAUCGGAGACUUAGACAAGAGCAGAUCUGCUGGAGCAGUGGGGCUGCAGCUGGCCUGGAGUGAAUAUAAGCAGGAAGGAGGAGUGUAAUUGGAAAGAGCAAAUUUAGACGCUCUUUCAAGGAGUUAUUCUAAAAGGGAACAGAGGAAAAGUGUAUGGCUGGAGGAGGACGUGGGUCAAGAGAGGGUCUUUGUUUCUUGUUGAUCGAUCUUUUUAAGAUGGAGGAAAUAAUGUCAUUUUUUUUUACUGAUGGGAAUCAUCCAAUAGAUAAGAAAAAAUUGGUGCAAGAUAGAGAGGAGAGAGAUCUUGGAAGAAAGUCCUUGACUAGGUCAGGGGGGUUGGGUCAAGGCAAAAUGGGGGAGUUGGCUUUGUCUAGGAAUGCCAGCAAUUCAUUCACAGUAGCAGAUGAGAAAGUAGAGGAUACUGAGUCACAAGCACGGGGGCGGGUAGAUCUGACGGUGGAAGCAGGGAGGAAUUCUCUUCUGAGAGUUUCUGUUUUCUCAGUACAGUGGGGAGAAAGGUCAUCAGGCUGGGGAGGAGGUGCUGGGGUUUGACGAGAGAAGAGAAAGGUGCAGGGACAGCAGAAGCAAAUUGACUCAGUGGAGAUAUUUCUUUAAGGGCCCUGGCCUGCACUAGUGUAAGAGAACUCUGUCAGUGCUGGGACCGAUGCUGCAAAUAGCACAUGGCCCUGUCCCUCCUGGUAGAUUUCUUAGUUGAAUUUUUAGACGUAGGUUUUUUAAUUUUUUAAUUUUUUUUUAAAUUUUUAUUUUUUGCCUUUUCUAGGGCCGCUCCUGUGGCAUAUGGAGAUUCCCAGGCUACGGGUCGAAUCAGAGCUGUAGCCGCCGGCCUACGCCAGAGCCACAGCAACGCCAGAUCCAAGCCGCGUCUGUGACCUAGAUCACAGCUCACGGCAGCACUGGAUCCUUAACCCACUGAGCAACCAGGGAUCGAACCUGCAACCUCCUGGUUCCUAGUCAGAUUCGUUAACCACUGAGCCACGACGGGAACUCC